rnacentral:lncRNA from 1 species
GUGUCAUCUGUUUUGGGUCUUAUGGAGGCCGGAGGCUCAGAGGAGACCCGGGGCACCCGCCGCUUGUACUUGUUGCCAUAGUCGAAUUUCUCCUUCACGUCGUCCAGGCAGCGGCCGAGGCGCGCCUGCUCCUCCUUGCCCGUGUAAUCCUGGCUCAGCAGGAUGUAGGCCCGCCAGUUGGCCGAGUCGAAGCCCCAGUGGCAGGUCCGGUUCUCCAGGGCCUUGUGCGAGUGCACCACGAACUUGUGCGGCGGGUACAUGAGGCGGCAGUCCAGGCACUGGAUGCAGGCGGCGCUCGGGCUGCUGUAGAGCUCGGGCACCAGCAGCCCCUUACAC